rnacentral:rRNA from 1 species
GACGAACGCUGGCGGCGUGCUUAACACAUGCAAGUCGAACGGGAGUAUCGAAGAAGCUUGCUUUAGAGAUACUUUAGUGGCGGACGGGUGAGUAACGCGUGAGGAGCUGUCCUAUGCAGGGGGACAACAGUUGGAAAAGACUGCUAAUACCCCAUAAGCCGAGAGGUAAAAGGAUUUAUCCGGCAGAGGAGGUACUCGCGUCCUAUCAGCUAGUAGGUGAGGUAACGGCUCACCUAGGCGAAGACGGGUAGCCGGCCUGAGAGGGCGAACAGCCACACUGGAACUGAGAUACGGUCCAGACUCCUACGGGAGGCAGCAGUGGGGAAUAUUGGGCAAUGGGGGGAACCCUGACCCAGCGACGCCGCGUGGGUGAAGAAAUCCCUCGGGAUGUAAAGCCCUGUUGUAUGGGAAGAGCGGAAGACGGUACCAUACGAGGAAGCCCCGGCAAACUACGUGCCAGCCGCCGCCGUAA